rnacentral:rRNA from 1 species
CGUAGGGGGCAAGCGUUGUCCGGAUUUAUUGGGCGUAAAGCGCUCGCAGGCGGUUCGUUGCGUCGUGCGUGAAAGACCCCGGCUCAACUGGGGAGGGUCGUGCGAUACGGGCGAACUUGAGGCCAGUAGGGGGACGCGGAAUUCCGGGUGUAGUGGUGGAAUGCGUAGAGAUCCGGAGGAACACCAGCGGCGAAGGCGGCGUCCUGGACUGGUACUGACGCUCAGGAGCGAAAGCGUGGGGAGCGAUCCGGAUUAGAUACCCGGGUAGUCCACGCCGUAAACGAUGAGUACUAGGUGUCGGGGGUAUCGACCCCCUCGGUGCCGCAGCUAACGCGAUAAGUACUCCGCCUGGGGACUACGGCCGCAAGGCUA